AGUGAACGCUGGCGGUAGGCCUAACACAUGCAAGUCGAACGGCAGCACAGUAAGCGCUUGCUCUUACGGGUGGCGAGUGGCGGACGGGUGAGGCAUACAUCGGAAUCUACUUUUUCGUGGGGGAUAACGUAGGGAAACUUACGCUAAUACCGCAUACGACCUACGGGUGAAAGCAGGGGAUAUUCGGACCUUGCGCGAUUGAAUGAGCCGAUGUCGGAUUAGCUAGUUGGCGGGGUAAAGGCCCACCAAGGCGACGAUCCGUAGCUGGUCUGAGAGGAUGAUCAGCCACACUGGAACUGAGACACGGUCCAGACUCCUACGGGAGGCAGCAGUGGGGAAUAUUGGACAAUGGGCGCAAGCCUGAUCCAGCCAUACCGCGUGAGUGAAGAAGGCCUUCGGGUUGUAAAGCCCUGUUGUUGGGAAAGAAAAGCAGCAGGUUAAUACCCCGCUGUUCUGACGGUACCCAAAGAAUAAGCACCGGCUAACUUCGUG
rnacentral:rRNA from 1 species